AUUGAACGCUGGCGGCAGGCCUAACACAUGCAAGUCGAGCGGAGCGGCGGACGGGCGAGUAAUGCCUCGGAAUCUGCCUGGUAGUGGGGGAUAACGUCCGGAAACGGGCGCUAAUAACGCAUACUAGCAGAUAAGCCUAGGUCGGAUUAGCUAGUUGGUGGGGUAACGGCUCACCUAGGCGACGAUCCCUAGCUGGUCUGAGAGGAUGACCAGCCACACUGGAACUGAGACACGGUCCAGACUCCUACGGGAGGCAGCAGUGGGGAAUAUUGCACAAUGGGCGCAAGCCUGAUGCAGCCAUUCCGCGUGUAUGAAGAAGGCCUUCGGGUUGUAAAGUACUUUCAGCGAGGAGGCGUUACUCGCAGAAGAAGCACCGGCUAACUCCGUGCCAGCAGCCGCGGUAAUUC
rnacentral:rRNA from 1 species